rnacentral:lncRNA from 1 species
ACCCUUGAAUAAGGCUGAGUCCUUGUUUGGAAGGACCUAAUUUUCUUGAAAGGGAGACAAGCAGUAAAAUCAAGAAAAAAUAUUUGAACUAUGUGGUUUCUGGUGGUUUUCAGUGCCAUCAGCUCCAUUCAUCUGUAGGCUCCACACCUUCAGAUUCAAUCAGACUUUGCUUGGAUUGUUCUAUCAACAAGACAGUGGAAUAAUUAUUUUUGUGUAAUAUACAUUCCAAUAGGUAUUACAAGUCACCCGGAGAUGAUUUUAAAUACUUAGGAGGGUGUGCAUUGGUUAUGUGCAUAAUCUGUCCUUUUAUCUAAGGAGCUUGAACUCCAUGAAAAAGAGCGAUUCAUCCUGGAAUCAACUUCCUGUGGAUAUUGAGGGGCGACUACAUUAUGGGAAAAUUAAGAGUGACUGGAAGAAGAUUCUGGGGCUCCUUUAGCUCCCAUGGUCAGGGAGUGGCUGUCUGCAAAGAGAGCCACCAGUGUGAAAUCUCCCUACAGCACCUCCCUCCUUGCCCGCCCCCAAAUACCUCUGUGCGGCUCUCAGGCCUUUUGGACCUUCGUGGGAAGAUACUCUGUGGGUCCUUCCCAGGCCCAUCCCCAUCAAAGGAGCCAGUUGCCCAGCACGGGCCCAGGACGUGAAACCCUGGUGCACACCCUGCCAGCGUCUCCACCUGACACAGCUUGGACAUCUUCCUGCAGAGGAGGCCUUGCUCCCGUCCAAUCCAGGAACUUUCAGCCUUUCCUGUCUUCAUCUGGACUGUGGAUUUAG